GGCAAUAAUAUAAUCAAUACUUAAUGUAGUAUAUAUUGACUAAAAAAGGGGAUAUAGGGGUGAUGAUGAAUGAGGAAUUGAGGAUGUAUGGGGGAUGGUAAAGAUGAUGAGGAUGUUUUACUUGUUAGUGGUUGUGGUGAUGAGAAGAGAGGGAUGCUUUUGAAUUUUCAUGAUGAAGUUAAGAAGCAUACGUUGAUGAUGUGAGUCAUGAUGUGUAUCGUGAUGUGACAA